rnacentral:rRNA from 1 species
AUGGCCGCGUCCGUAUUCCUCGCCGCCGUCCUUGCCCUCCAGCUCCUCCAUGUGGCCCGCGGCGAGAUCAAGACGACGCCGAUCGUGUCCGACUCACGGCCCGUCAUCCUGUUCGAGGAGUUCGGCUUCAAGCCCGGCGGCGUCGCGCAGGUCUCCGUGUCCGGCGUCUCAUGGAGCGUCCCCGAGGGCUCCCCGCCCCAGGCCGUGGACCCGGGGCUCAUGGGCUUCAUCCUCAUCUCCAACACCCUCUUCUUCAAGAUCACCAACGAGUCCGAGUACGCGGAGGAGACCGGCAGCUCCUUCUGCCCGCUCACCAGCGAGUACGUGAUGCCGCUCUUCCGGCUCAAGGACAUCGGGCGUGACGGCGCGGGCGGUGGUAACGUGACCAUCGGCGACGCCGACCAGUACACGGUGCUGUUCAGCAGCUGCCAGGACGGCGUCGAGAUCACCAUGGACGUUCGCACGGAGAUGUACAACCUGCCUAGCCCCGGCGGCGACAGGGAGUACCUGCCCGUCGGCCUGCUCCCGCUGCCGGGAAUCUUCGCCGCCUCCUCCGUGCUGUACUUCGCGUUCCUGGCGGCGUGGGUGUUCGUCUGCAUCAAGCAGCGCGCCACGGUCGAGCGGAUCCACGCUGUCAUGGGCGCGCUGCUGCUGUUCAAGGCCCUGAAGCUGGCGUGCGCCGCCGAGGACGCGUGGUACGUCGGGCGCACCGGCACGCCGCACGGCUGGGACGUCGCCUUCUACGUUUUCGGCUUCUUCAAGGGCAUCCUCCUCUUCACCGUCAUCGUGCUCAUCGGCACCGGUUGGUCCUUCCUGAAGCCAUAUCUCCAGGAGCGGGAGAAGAACGUGCUGAUGAUCAUCAUCCCGCUGCAAGUGAUCGAGAACAUCGCGUCGGCGAUGAUCGGCGAGACGGGGCCGGCGGGGCGGGACUGGCUGGCGUGGAACCAGAUCUUCCUGCUGGUGGACGUGGUCUGCUGCUGCGCGGUCUUCUUCCCCAUCAUCUGGUCCAUCCGCAACCUCAGGGAGGCCUCCAAGACGGACGGCAAGGCGGCAAGGAACCUCAAGAAGCUCACCCUCUUCAAGCAGUUCUACCUCGUCGUCGUCGGCUACCUCUACUUCACCCGGAUCGCCGUCUCCGCCUUCGCCGCUGUGCUCAGCUACAAGUACCAGUGGGUGGUCAACGUCUCCGUCGAGCUCGCCAGCCUCGCAUUCUACGUCUUCGUCUUCUAUAACUUCCAGCCGGUGGAAAGGAACCCGUACCUCUACGUUGCGGACGAGGAGGAAGAGGCUGCCGGUGGCCAGCUCGAGCUAGAGGGGACGUUUGAGAUCUGA